rnacentral:sRNA from 1 species
GAAGAAGAUGGCGGAAGGCGGAGCGGCGGAUCUGGACACCCAGCGGUCUGACAUCGCGACGCUGCUCAAAACCUCGCUCCGGAAAGGGGACACCUGGUACCUAGUCGAUAGUCGCUGGUUCAAACAGUGGAAAAAAUAUGUUGGCUUUGACAGUUGGGACAAAUACCAGAUGGGAGAUCAAAAUGUGUAUCCUGGACCCAUUGAUAACUCUGGACUUCUCAAAGAUGGUGAUGCCCAGUCACUUAAGGAACAUCUUAUUGAUGAAUUGGAUUACAUACUGUUGCCAACUGAAGGUUGGAAUAAACUUGUCAGCUGGUACACAUUGAUGGAAGGUCAAGAGCCAAUAGCACGAAAGUGUCAACAUUCAAAGAAUGGAUGGAAAGAAAGCAAGGAUAUAAGCAGAAAAUACAAUGGAAUCAAAAUCCAAGAGAAACAGCAGACAAUAGAAACAGACCCAUAAGAAACCCAGGUAAUUGAGUUAGUAGAUUUUAGAAUAGUGGGCUUAUUAUGCUAAAAAAAAAAAAAAAGGCAGAUGAGAAGUAGGGCAAAACUAUUAAAGAAGAAGCAAAUAGAAUUCU